UACGGGGGGGGCAAGCGUUGUUCGGAAUUACUGGGCGUAAAGGGCUCGUAGGCGGCCAACUAAGUCGGAUGUGAAAUCCCCAGGCUUAACCUGGGAACUGCAUCCGAUACUGGUUGGCUUGAAUCCGGGAGAGGGAUGCGGAAUUCCAGGUGUAGCGGUGAAAUGCGUAGAUAUCUGGAGGAACACCGGUGGCGAAGGCGGCAUCCUGGACCGGCAUUGGCGCUGAGUGAGCGAAAGCCAGGGGAGCAAACGGG
rnacentral:rRNA from 1 species